rnacentral:tRNA from 1 species
AUAUUAUAAUAUAAUCAAUCGGCAUCUACGUGCGGAUUAUAAAGUAAAGCGUAGCAUAACCAGGAGUUAGUC